rnacentral:lncRNA from 1 species
AAACAAGCAUUGGUGGUAGACAUGAUGGAGCUGAUCUUUUGCAUAAUACAUAAGAUGAUUCUCCGGUCAGAUAUGCUAUGUGAUGUACCGGUUGAAUAGGUAACCUUAUCUUCUGCAUGUAUGUUGAACUAUCUAAACUAUUCUUAUAAAACGAAUCACUUUGAUUCUUUACCAUCAUUUCUCAAGUACCAAAUUGCAAGUGAGGACUCUUUUAAGAUUUUCUCUACAACUCUUUGCUUAACUCUUCCCACCUGGCCACCUUCUAUCAUGCUUUGUCAGGCUAAAUAUUUAAUCUUUUCUCCAAGCUCAGCUUUCUCAUUCCUUCCUCAUCAGCCCUUCAUUCUCUUCCUGAUGACUUUUAAUUGUUGAUCUUCCAAGUUUAUGCUGGCACUGGGUGGGCUCUUCUCCCUCUGCCCCCUCUAGUAAUUGGUGACUUAGGACCGCUCCUCAUUUCCUAUGUGUGCAUAUGAUAGUGCCUUGUCAGAGAUGAAAAUGCUUUCAUGCUAGGAUAUAUUUCUGUCUUAUUUUUACUCAUUGCUGCAUUGCCUUUGACUUCUGUUUUCCGUGGCCAUGGGUCUAUUGUGUCCUAGUGUGAUCUGAAUAUACAUAAGUGAUUUAUAACUGACAAUACUUGUGCAUCUGGUUUCAAAUUUCCUUUUUUUAGCGGACUUAUAGGUUUGCCAUUUUACGUUGCUUCUUAUUUGGAUCAUUAUGAUACCUAGUGAACUAACAACUGUCACUAGAUUAAAUAGUAUUCUUCUAUUUAUCUUUUCACUGCGGUUAUUGUAGAUUUAUGGAUGAUUGUUCUAGUUUUAGGCUUUUUGGUCAAACGUUUUCUCAUCAUGUCACUCGUUAUCCGCCAAACUUGCAUAUGUAUGUAACUGUCUAUUAGCCACCAAUAUGAUUUGGCUGGUCCAAACUAUAGGUAGUAUGCUUUGUGUGGAGUAUAAUUUUUUUUUCAGUUUUGGCCAUUAUUGAUGUUUAAUACUUCAUACUAUGAAACACAUGAGCAAAAUGGCAUGACUAGAUUCACCAAAAAAAACUUAUUUUAUCCUAAUGCCAGUUUUUUUAUAUUACUGGCAUAUUAUCACUAAAGUAGUGGUAAAAGUAUUGCUUGAUGAUGCGGAGAGUAAAAAAUAACAAUCCUUUUGGACCGAAGGAAGUCUGAAUAGUAUGCAUGAUCUCAGUUAUAUGUACUCCGAGAAUUUGAUGAAAAUCAAUUUGUUAGUGACUAGGUAGUUGUACAUUCCUAAAAAGUAUGCCUUGGAGCUAGAACCUGCUAUCCUACCCCAUGAGCCUCUACACACAAGAUGUAUUGCCUUUUGUUGUUCUCUGUUUCAAUUGUUGAUUUUCUCUAAUAACGGUGUGAUGGUUUGACGCCGGAGCUUAUGACACAAUUUCCACAAUUGUGAAGCCAAUGUUUUCUAGUUGAAUCAUGGAAGAAUUAGGACAACAAUCCCAACAACUUCUGAUGAAUGAGUAGUACAAGGUUUUACUGAUGAUAUUUUUUUUUGCUCCACAGGUAUCUACAAUUACAUUCUGGUGUCUCGGAUGCAAAAAUGGGUUGUCAAGUGUAGUUUCUUCCAUUUGUAUGCUCGACGCCGAGAUACCAACCCAGCAUGAACACAGCUCUUUAUUCUGAAGUGAACUUUCUUGCAUAUGAUUAUCUUCCAUGUUGUAUCAGCGGGGAGGGAUUUGUAUGUCGGAUUUCAUGUAUGCGUGUGUUUGUUGAAUUUCUACCUGGUUUCGAACUCAGUAUUUGGAGCCUUAAUUUGCUUAGUUGUGACUGAUGAAUGUUGAAUCCCAUCAGUGAGACCUGGGAGUUGGAAGAUGCUCCGAUAUGUUGGAAUUAAU